rnacentral:lncRNA from 10 species
GGCGAGGAAAAGUAAAGUGACAGCUGGGUCCCGCGCGCAGACUGGGCUCUGACGGGGACGGACUCUUCUUGCUCUGUUGCCCAGGCUGAAGUCCAGUGGUGCAAUCCCAGCUCACUGCAACCUCCGCCUCCCGGGUUCAAGUGAUUUUCCUGCCUCAGCUUCCUGAGUAGCUGGGACUACAGGCAAGAGAAAGAGGCCCACUGCAAUAUGCUGUGAAGAAUACAUAAGAAGUCAAACUGUUGACCUCUUUUCCCCAGCCCGUUCCAAAACUACAUCCCUGAGGAGUUGUGCACCUCUACGGAAAGUUCAGAUGAAAGAGCUAAUUCCCCUUGAUCUCUCUUCUUGUUCAGAGUGGAGGAAAAACAUAUACCAUCCCUUCCAUCAAUCCUCAGCAUAACUUUGCCAGGGACACUGGUAACAAGCUACUUUUACCUCAGAAGUUGGAGAGUAUCACUUGACCCACAUUGUGUAUGUGUAAAUAUCUUUAUUCAGUGUAUAUACAAUAUAUUCUUAAUUUGACUCUCAAAGUUUAUAAUUAGCAUUGAAUGAGUAUGAAACAUUGUUUUCCAAAUACUGUCAGCAAGCUAUUGAAUAUGUUGUUCCUGAUUUAUGAAUGAGAUUUUCAUCAGCAGAAACUUAUGACAAAUGACCAAUUACAUUGUCACUGCUAAGUUCCAAGAGCAUUUCUUUCAGUUAUGCUAUUUAGAGUAUAAACAUCAUACUGAAUUAUUAUUAAACUCCACUCAAAAUUUUUAAUUAAGCCAUCCACAUCAUCUAAGUCUUUUCCCUUCCCCUUCUGUGAACCUUCUUUUUUGAGACAGGGUCUCAGU